rnacentral:tRNA from 1 species
GGGCGGUUAGCUCAGCUGGUUAGAGCGCUGCGUUGACAUCGCAGAGGUCAGUGGUUCAAGUCCUCUACCGCCCACCA